GCCACCGUAGCUUAGCCCGGUUGAGCGGCUGACUUGUAAUCAGCAGGCCGAGGGUUCAAAUCCCUCCGGUGGCUCCACCC
rnacentral:tRNA from 1 species